rnacentral:rRNA from 1 species
CUAAGAAUUUUCCGCAAUGGGCGAAAGCCUGACGGAGCAAUUUCGCAUGGAUGAUGAAGGUCCUUGGACUGUAAAAUCCUUUCGGUGGUCAAGAAUAAGUUGAUAAGUAAAUGUAUCAACGAUGACGAUAGCCACAAAAGAAGCCCUGGCUAAUUACGUGCCAGCAGCCGCGGUAAUACGUAGGGGGCAAACGAUGUUCGAAAUCACUGGGCGUAAAGGGUGUGUAGGCGGCCUAGAAAGUUAAAUGUGAAAUCUUAAGGCUUAACCUUAGGGCUGCAUUUAAAACUUCUAAGCUAGAGUCAUUUAUAGAGGUAGUGGGAAUUCCUGGUGUAGGAGUGAAAUCUGUAGAUAUCAGGAGGAACACCAAAGGCGAAGGCAAGCUACUGGGUAAUGACUGACGCUGAGACACGAAAGCUAGGGUAGCG